rnacentral:rRNA from 1 species
AGAGUUUGAUCAUGGCUCAGGAUGAACGCUAGCGGCAGGCUUAAUACAUGCAAGUCGUGGGGCAGCAUGGUGUAGCAAUACACUGAUGGCGACCGGCAAACGGGUGCGGAACACGUACGCAACCUUCCUUUAACUGGAGAAUAGCCCGGGGAAACCCGGAUUAAUACUCCGUAACAUUAUGAAGUGGCAUCACUUUAUAAUUAUAGCUCCGGCGGUUGAAGAUGGGCGUGCGUCUGAUUAGGUAGUUGGCGGGGUAACGGCCCACCAAGCCUACGAUCAGUAACUGGUGUGAGAGCACGACCAGUCACACGGGCACUGAGACACGGGCCCGACUCCUACGGGAGGCAGCAGUAAGGAAUAUUGGUCAAUAGACGCAAGUCUGAACCAGCCAUGCCGCGUGGAGGAUGAAGGUCCUCUGGAUUGUAAACUUCUUUUAUUUGGGAAGAAACCCCCGAUUUCUAUUGGGGUUGACGGUACCAGAUGAAUAAGCACCGGCUAACUCCGUGCCAGCAGCCGCGGUAAUACGGAGGGUGCAAGCGUUAUCCGGAUUCACUGGGUUUAAAGGGUGCGUAGGCGGGUUGGUAAGUCCGUGGUGAAAUCUCCAAGCUUAACUUGGAAACUGCCGUGGAUACUAUCAAUCUUGAAUAUAGUGGAGGUGAGCGGAAUAUGUCAUGUAGCGGUGAAAUGCUUAGAUAUGACAUAGAACACCCAUUGCGAAGGCAGCUCGCUACACUAUUAUUGACGCUGAGGCACGAAAGCGUGGGGAUCAAACAGGAUUAGAUACCCUAGUAGUCC